rnacentral:tRNA from 1 species
UGCCGAAUGGUGUAACGGUAACACUAACGACUCUGACUCGUUCAUCCUUGGUUCGAAUCCAAGUUCGGCAG